rnacentral:rRNA from 1 species
UACCAGCUCUCCGAGUGGUGUGGAUGUUUAUUGGGCCUAAAGCAUCCGUAGCUGGCUGGGCAAGUCCCCUGUUAAAUCCACCGAUUUAAUCGUUGGUGUGCGGGGGAUACUGUACGGCUAGGGGACGGGAGAGGCCGACGGUAUUUUCGGGGUAGGGGUGAAAUCCUAUAAUCCCGGGAAGACCACCAGUGGCGAAGGCUGUCGGCUAGAACGCGCCCGACGGUGAGGGAUGAAAGCUGGGGGAGCGAACCGGAUUAGAUACCCGGGUAGUCCCAGCUGUAAACGAUGCAGGCUAGGUGUUUGGGCGGCCACGUGCCGCUCUAGUGCCGCAGAGAAGUCGUUAAGCCUGCCGCCUGGGGAGUACGGCCGCAAGGCUGAAACUUAAAGGAAUUGGCGGGGGAGCACCACAAGGGGUGAAGCUUGCGGUUU